CUCUCAAUAAGGGCUUAGCCUCUAUCUCUCUCUCGCGCUUUCUUUCUGUCCCUCCCCUCCUCCUACCUCCUGUCUUACCCCCCCCCCUCUCUCUUUCUCUCUCUAACAGCCUGUCAGUCAGCAGAAGCUGUAGGGUCUGUCAAGGUGUCCGCUGACGGCCCUGUGUCUGAGGCAGCUGCAGCCUCUGCAUCAAAAAGACAGCCGUGUGUGUGCCAAAGUUCUCUCCCGUGGAGACGAAACGAGGGCUGA
rnacentral:lncRNA from 13 species